rnacentral:rRNA from 1 species
UACGUAGGGGGCGAGCGUUGUCCGGAAUUAUUGGGCGUAAAGAGCUUGUAGGCGGUUUGUCGCGUCUGCUGUGAAAUUUCGGGGCUCAACCCCGAACUUGCAGUGGGUACGGGCAGACUAGAGUGUGGUAGGGGAGACUGGAAUUCCUGGUGUAGCGGUGAAAUGCGCAGAUAUCAGGAGGAACACCGGUGGCGAAGGCGGGUCUCUGGGCCGUAACUGACGCUGAGGAGCGAAAGCAUGGGGAGCGAACAGG